rnacentral:rRNA from 1 species
AUAAGAAUGUGCAGGAUAGGUGGGAGGCUUUGAGUAUAUGACGCCAGUUGUAUAUGAGCCAUUGUUGAGAUACCACUCUUUCUUAUUUGGGUAGCUAACCAGCUUGAGUUAUCCUCAAGUGGGACAAUGUCUGGUGGGUAGUUUGACUGGGGCGGUCGCCUCCCAAAUAAUAACGGAGGCUUACAAAGGUUGGCUCAGAACGGUUGGAAAUCGUUCGUAGAGUAUAAAGGUAUAAGCCAGCUUAACUGCAAGACAUACAAGUCAAGCAGAGACGAAAGUCGGUCUU